rnacentral:rRNA from 1 species
CCUACGGGGGGCAGCAGUGAGGAAUAUUGGUCAAUGGACGAGAGUCUGAACCAGCCAAGUAGCGUGAAGGAUGACUGCCCUAUGGGUUGUAAACUUCUUUUAUAUGGGAAUAAAACAGGGUAUGCAUACCCUCUUGUAUGUACCAUAUGAAUAAGGAUCGGCUAACUCCGUGCCAGCAGCCGCGGUAAUACGGAGGAUCCGAGCGUUAUCCGGAUUUAUUGGGUUUAAAGGGAGCGUAGGUGGAUUGUUAAGUCAGUUGUGAAAGUUUGCGGCUCAACCGUAAAAUUGCAGUUGAAACUGGCGUGCUUGAGUCCGCGGAAAGCAGGCGGAAUUCGUCGUGUAGCGGUGAAAUGCUUAGAUAUGACGAAGAACCCCGAUUGCGAAGGCAGCUUGCUGCAGCGGAACUGACGCUGAUGCUCGAAAGCGCGGGUAUCGAACAGGAUUAGAUACCCCAGUAGUC